CCUACGGGAGGCAGCAGUGAGGAAUAUUGGUCAAUGGGCGGGAGCCUGAACCAGCCAAGUCGCGUGAGGGAAGACGGUCCUACGGAUUGUAAACCUCUUUUGCCGGGGAGCAACGGGGUCCUUGCGAGGGCCCGAUGAGAGUACCCGGAGAAAAAGCAUCGGCUAACUCCGUGCCAGCAGCCGCGGUAAUACGGAGGAUGCGAGCGUUAUCCGGAUUUAUUGGGUUUAAAGGGUGCGUAGGCGGGCUGUUAAGUCAGUGGUCAAAUUGAGGGGCUCAACCCCUUCCCGCCAUUGAAACUGGCGUUCUUGAGUGGAAGAGAAGUAUGCGGAAUGCGUGGUGUAGCGGUGAAAUGCAUAGAUAUCACGCAGAACCCCGAUUGCGAAGGCAGCAUGCCGGCUUCCGACUGACGCUGAAGCACGAAAGCGUGGGGAUCGAACAGGAUUAGAUACCCGUGUAGUC
rnacentral:rRNA from 1 species